UGAAUCCUUUGGCAAAAUCGUUGAAAAACGAUGACGCAAAGCUAUGAGUCUACGGCAGGGAACUGCUACGAUCGUCAAGCUGCAAAA
rfam:Firmicutes bacterium CAG:466 genomic scaffold, scf138